rnacentral:rRNA from 1 species
CCUACGGGUGGCAGCAGUGAGGAAUAUUGGUCAAUGGGCUUACGCCUGAACCAGCCAAGUCGCGUGAGGGAAGACUGCCCUAUGGGUUGUAAACCUCUUUUGUCAGGGAGCAACGCCGUCUACGUGGAGGCGGACUGAGAGUACCUGAAGAAAAAGCAUCGGCUAACUCCGUGCCAGCAGCCGCGGUAAUACGGAGGAUGCGAGCGUUAUCCGGAUUUAUUGGGUUUAAAGGGUGCGUAGGCGGAAUGCCAAGUCAGCGGUAAAAUCGCGGGGCUCAACCUCGGUCCGCCGUUGAAACUGGCGUGCUUGAGUGGGCGAGAAGUAUGCGGAAUGCGUGGUGUAGCGGUGAAAUGCAUAGAUAUCACGCAGAACUCCGAUUGCGAAGGCAGCAUACCGGCGCCCAACUGACGCUGAAGCACGAAAGCGUGGGUAUCGAACAGGAUUAGAUACCCUGGUAGUC